rnacentral:tRNA from 1 species
GGUGAAAUAGUUUAAGUGGUUAAAACCUCGCGUACCUUGCGAAAAUGAGAGUUCGAUUCUCUCUUUCACCACCA